rnacentral:rRNA from 1 species
UACGGAGGGGGCUAGCGUUGUUCGGAAUUACUGGGCGUAAAGCGCACGUAGGCGGCUUUGUAAGUUAGAGGUGAAAGCCCUCGGCUCAACCGAGGAAUUGCGCUCUAAACUACCGUGCUCGAGGAAGCUAGAGGUGAGCGGAACUGAUGGUGGAGCGGUGAAAUGCGUUGAUAUCAUCAGGAACACCGGAGGCGAAGGCGGCUCACUGGGGCUUUUCUGACGCUGAGGAACGAAAGCCAGGGGAGCGAACGGG